rnacentral:pre_miRNA from 1 species
CCUCCUCAAACAUUCGUCACAAUGACAUUUAAACAUUGGACGGAGGUCUGAUAAGGGA